rnacentral:rRNA from 1 species
CACGUAGGGUGCGAGCGUUUGUCCGGAAUUAUUGGGCGUAAAGAGCUCGUAGGCGGUGUGUCGCGUCGGCCGUGAAAACCUGCAGCUUAACUGUGGGCUUGCGGUCGAUACGGGCAUCACUGGAGUUCGGCAGGGGAGACUGGAAUUCCUGGUGUAGCGGUGAAAUGCGCAGAUAUCAGGAGGAACACCGGUGGCGAAGGCGGGUCUCUGGGCCGAUACUGACGUGAGGAGCGAAAGCAUGGGGAGCGAACAGG